UACGUAGGGUGCGAGCGUUGUCCGGAAUUAUUGGGCGUAAAGAGCUCGUAGGCGGUCUGUCGCGUCGGUCGUGAAAACUUGGGGCUUAACCCUGAGCUUGCGGUCGAUACGGGCAUGACUGGAGUUCGGCAGGGGAGACUGGAAUUCCUGGUGUAGCGGUGAAAUGCGCAGAUAUCAGGAGGAACACCGGUGGCGAAGGCGGAUCUCUGGGCCUUACCUGACGCUGAGGCGCGAAAGCUAGGGGAGCAAACAGG
rnacentral:rRNA from 1 species